rnacentral:rRNA from 1 species
CGUGAGAAUCUGCCUUGGGGUCGGGGACAACCACUGGAAACGGUGGCUAAUACCGGAUAAGCCUUUGGGUAAAAAAUUUAUUGCCCCAAGAGGAGCUCGCGUCUGAUUAGCUAGUUGGUGAGGUAAAAGCUCACCAAGGCAGCGAUCAGUAGCUGGUCUGAGAGGACGAUCAGCCACACUGGGACUGAGACACGGCCCAGACUCCUACGGGAGGCAGCAGUGGGGAAUUUUCCGCAAUGGGCGAAAGCCUGACGGAGCAAGACCGCGUGAGGGAGGAAGGCUCUUGGGUUGUAAACCUCUUUUCUCAGGGAAGAAGCUCUGACGGUACCUGAGGAAUCAGCCUCGGCUAACUCCGUGCCAGCAGCCGCGGUAAUACGGAGGAGGCAAGCGUUAUCCGGAAUUAUUGGGCGUAAAGCGUCCGCAGGUGGCGAUUCAAGUCUGCUGUCAAAGCACGGGGCUUAACUCCGUUAAGGCAGUGGAAACUGAAUAGCUAGAGUGCCGUAGGGGUAGAGGGAAUUCCCGGUGUAGCGGUGAAAUGCGUAGAGAUCGGGAAGAACAUCGGUGGCGAAAGCGCUCUACUGGACGGCAACUGACACUCAGGGACGAAAGCUAGGGGAGCGAAUGGGAUUAGAUACCCCAGUAGUCCUAGCUGUAAACGAUGGAUACUAGGUGUAGCUUGUAUCGACCCGAGCUGUGCCGAAGCUAACGCGUUAAGUAUCCAGCCUGGGGAGUACGCACGCAAGUGUGAAACUCAAAGGAAUUGACGGGGGCCCGCACAAGCGGUGGAGUAUGUGGUUUAAUUCGAUGCAACGCGAAGA